AAAUAAAACAAACAUCUGAACAGUUAAUAUAAAUAUAUUUUGAAUUAUUCAGAGGCUUUACAAUAUUUGGAAGAAUUACUUCGACAGCGUUACGCCUAACCAACCCGAGUUCAUUUGUAUACAAAAAUAAUUAUAUAGCAGUUACCCGAAAGCAGAUACACGGAAUACAUCGAGUUACAAGGACUGGGUUAUACAAAUCAUUUAUACAUGACUUGAAACAAUUUAUCAAUUAUUUCUAACACCAAUAAAGAAGACAAACAUCAAAACUUACUUUUAAAAUAACAUUGUUACGUAAAAUAAUGAAUUUAAUCAUAUUAAUCCUUUUAUUUGAGUUGUAAGUUGGUAAAAAUCAAAACUGAGGCUUAUGUUACUAAAUACCAUAAUAAUGCCUUUUACAACGAUGCCGAGUUCCAUCCUUAUCUAACUGGUCUAUACCGAAAAGGACGUAUGCUUAAUUAAUACAUUGCACGAAUGUAUUUCUUCAUCCUUAUUGCCUCAUACUUAAAGUCCAUUUUAAAA